rnacentral:rRNA from 1 species
UGAAAANCGUCCAAAUUCUANGGGGGCNCANNGGGAAUAUGCACAAUGGNNCCAACCNGANGCAACCAAUGCNGNGUGUNAUGAAGGAGNCCUUNGGGGUUUNAAGUAAUUUUAAGCGGGGAGGAAGGGAGUAAAGUUAAUACCUUUNGUUCAUUGACGUUACCCGCAGAAGAAGCACCGGCUAANUCNGUGCCAGCAGCCGCGGUAAUACGGAGGGUGCAAGCGUUAAUCGGAAUUACUGGGCGUAAAGCGCACGCAGGCGGUUUGUUAAGUCAGAUGUGAAAUCCCCGGGCUCAACCUGGGAACUGCAUCUGAUACUGGCAAGCUUGAGUCUNGUAGAGGGGGGUAGAAUUCCAGGUGUAGCGGUGAAAUGCGUAGAGAUCUGGAGGAAUACCGGUGGCGAAGGCGGCCCCCUGGACGAAGACUGACGAUCAGGUGCGNAAGCGUGGGGAGCAUACAGGAUUAGAUACCAUNGUAGUCCACNCCGUAAACGAUGUCGACUUNGAGGUUGUGCCCUUGAGGCGUGGCUUCCGGAGCUAACNCGUUAAGUNGACCACCUGGGGAGUACGCCCGCAACGUNNAAGGC